UAUGACACUGAGCUGAUAAAAUAAAAGUCGAAUGGUCACUUCUUCCACUUUCUUCAGGCUUUUAUUCUUUUUCUUUUUGUGUGAGUCCCGUGAGUGAACAAUUGCUAUGUUGUCUAUAGCCAACUAACAUUCAAGUUCAACACAAAAUCAAACCCCACACCCACCAAACCAAACCUCUCUAUAUUGAAAAGCCCCUAUAAAUUAUCACCCUCCGAGGUUUUCAUCUCAUCUUCAACUUCAGAUAUUUGGCACCCCACAGAACCAACCUCCUCCUCCGCUUCUUCUUCUUCUACUAACCCAGACAGCUACUCUCUCUCUCUCUCUCUCUCUCUCUCUCUCUCUCUCAAAGGAGAAAGUUGAAUUGUGCUUGUGUCUGGCCUAAGGCAACCGUUUUGCCAGCAACGCAGCAGAAUGAGUAAGGCUAUUUUGAGUGAUAUAGUUAAACUCAAAAAGGAGGAGGGCUGCCAACAAGCUUUUUGGCAUGGGUGGUGUAGGAAAGAAAUAGUUGUUGUAAAGAAAGUGUUGGAGCUCAUAUAAAAAAAAAGACGAAAAUAUAAUAUUUAUGUGGUAAAGCUAAUAAGUGGAGCCCAUAUGUUAGAAGGAAAUUUCUUUGCACCUUCAGAUAUUUUCCUUUCUCUAGCUAAGGCCGUUGCCUAUAAAAUAAAGCUUCCUUCUCAUUUGUAAAAUACAUAAGAAAGCUUUAAUGAAAACAUCACAUUUCUAUUACAGCCUAAUUUCUCUAUAUUCUCUCUAUAAUUUCUUUAGUUUUAUAACAAUUCAAAAGGCAAAUGAUGAUGUUGGGCAAAUAAUGUUGCUAGACGUAGGAGGCAAUACAAAGGCUUCUCAAGCCUUCCUUGCUCAACUAUAAAAGGGAGGCUAGUUCCUUAUUUGGAAUGCAAGCCGAGAGGUAGUAAGAAGAAGUGAGAAGUGAGAACAUGCUGAGUUGAGAGAAGAAAAGAGGGUGAGAAAUCUGAGCGUUAGUGAGUUCUAUCUGAGAGGAAAUUCUGUCAGUGUAAACACCACAAGAGCAAAUACAAUUAUACUCCCAGCUCAACACCACGUGGUUAUUUCUCUGUCUCCUCUCUGUCAUAUGUCUCCUCUCACUUUACUACUACGACGACAUGCAAACUUUCUUUUUUGUGUUCUCACAAUUUUUAUGUUGUUUCAUCCAUGUUUAUUUAAUUUAUUUUUUCAUACAGUAAUUUGGAAUGGUGCGGUUUUAUACCCCAUCCUGUUAUUUUAUAGUGGUAUAAUUUCAUUGCCCAUCACGUUGUAACACAUAUUAUCGUAAUAAAAAUGAUGGUGUGAUCUUAAAACA